GCAUUGGUGGUUCUGUUGCAGAAUUCUCGCCUUCCAUGCAGGAGACCCUGGAUCAAUUCCUGGCCAAAACA
rnacentral:tRNA from 1 species